rnacentral:rRNA from 1 species
CGUGUAGGCGGUUGGGCAAGUCAGAUGUGAAAUCCCUUAGCUCAACUAAGGAAGUGCAUUUGAAACUGCUUAACUAGAGUACAGGAGGGGAAAGUGGAAUUCCCAGUGUAGAGGUGAAAUUCAUAGAUAUUGGGAGGAACACCGGUGGCGAAGGCGGCUUUCUGGCCUGAUACUGACGCUGAGACGCGAAAGCGUGGGGAGCAAACA